rnacentral:rRNA from 1 species
UACCAGCACCCCGAGUGGUCGGGACGUUUAUUGGGCCUAAAGCAUCCGUAGCCGGUUCUACAAGUCUUCCGUUAAAUCCAUCUGCUUAACAGAUGGGCUGCGGAAGAUACUAUAGAGCUAGGAGGCGGGAGAGGCAAGCGGUACUCGAUGGGUAGGGGUAAAAUCCGUCGAUCCAUUGAAGACCACCAGUGGCGAAGGCGGCUUGCCAGAACGCGCUCGACGGUGAGGGAUGAAAGCUGGGGGAGCAAACCGG